GGGAAAUGUGCUGCUUGAUUUCCAGUCUUGUUCAUGAACAAGAAGAAAGUUUGAGAAGAAAGAGUUUAUUCAGGUUACACUUCCAUAUUGCUGUUCAUCACCAAAGAAAGUCAGGACUGGAACUCAAGCAGGUUUAAAAGUAGCAAGACUGGCUAUGAAGAUUCUGAAGUAGCAGGUAUAUUUUUAUCAUCAGAUAUAUGGAUAUAUUAUCAGCUAUCCUGUGCCGGGGACCAGCCCCCACAUUAGUCUUCUUUCUCCUGUUGGUUCUUCCUGAAGCAGCGGAGAGGGAAGAGCAUCUGUGGAGGGUAAGACUUAGUCUUAGGAGGUAUUUAGGGUUGCUGUAUAAUAAUAUGUUUACUUAUCUAAGUCUAAGUUACUAUGUUACUAUAACUGAUUUACUUAUCUAUGUCUAAGUCCCUAUGUUCUGCUACUGGUACUG
ensembl:lncRNA